GACGAACGCUGGCGGCGUGCUUAACACAUGCAAGUCGAACGAAGAGCGAUGGAAGCUUGCUUCUAUCAAUCUUAGUGGCGAACGGGUGAGUAACGCGUAAUCAACCUGCCCUUCAGAGGGGGACAACAGUUGGAAACGACUGCUAAUACCGCAUACGAUCUAAUCUCGGCAUCGAGGAUAGAUGAAAGGUGGCCUCUACAUGGAAGCUAUCACUGAAGGAGGGGAGUGGGUCUGAUUAGCUAGGUGGAGGGGUAACGGCCCACCAAGGCGAUGAUCAGUAGCCCGUCUGAGAGGAUGAACGGCCACAUUGGGACUGAGACACGGCCCCGACUCCUCCGGGAGGCAGCAGUGGGGAAUCUUCCGCAAUGGACGCAAGUCUGACGGAGCAACGCCGCGUGAGUGAUGACGGCCUUCGGGUUGUAAAGCUCUGUUAAUCGGGACGAAAGGCCUUCUUGCGAAUAGUGAGAAGGAUUGACGGUACCGGAAGAGAAAGCCACGGCUAACUACGUG
rnacentral:rRNA from 1 species